rnacentral:rRNA from 1 species
UAUCGGGCGACUGUAUAGCAAAUACACAGGUUUUAGUUAAAGAUGUUUAGAUUUUAGAGCUGAUAUGUGACCAGCAUGCUCAACAUAAACGUUGGCCGUAACAAUAACGGUCCUAAGGUAGCAAAUUUCCUUGUCGUUAGUAACGACCUGCAUGAAACAUGGAACGAUUCGAUAGCUGUCUUGCGCACACGUCAUGGUGAAAUAUUCAUCAGUACAAAGGAUAUGCUGGCUCACUGGGACCGCACUAAAGGACAAAAAGACCCUUUGAAGCUUUA